rnacentral:rRNA from 1 species
GGGCCCGCACAAGCGGUGGAGCAUGUGGUUUAAUUCGAUGCAACGCGAAAAACCUUACCUAUACUUGACAUACUUGGAAUGCUUUGUAAUGAAGCAGUGCCUUCGGGAACCAAGAUACAGGUGCUGCAUGGCUGUCGUCAGCUCGUGUCGUGAGAUGUUCCGUUAAGUCGGAUAACGAGCGCAACCCUUACCCUUAUUUGCCAGCGAUUCGGUCGGGAACUAUAAGGGGACUGCCGGUGAUAAACCGGAGGAAGGUGAGGACGACGUCAAGUCAUCAUGGCCCUUACGUAUAGGGCUACACACGUGCUACAAUGGGGAAUACAGAGGGCAGCUACACAGCGAUGUGAUGCGAAUCUCAAAAAGCCUAUCGUAGUCCAGAUUGGAGUCUGCAACUCGACUCCAUGAAGUAGGAAUCGCUAGUAAUCG